rnacentral:rRNA from 1 species
UACGUAGGGUGCGAGCGUUGUCCGGAAUUAUUGGGCGUAAAGGGCUCGUAGGCGGUUUGUCGCGUCGGGAGUGAAAUCCACUGGCUUAACUGGUGGCUUGCUUUCGAUACGGGCAGACUGGAGGUAUGCAGGGGAGAACGGAAUUCCUGAUGUAGCGGUGAAAUGCGCAGAUAUCAGGAGGAACACCGGUGGCGAAGGCGGGUCUCUGGGCCGAUACUGACGCUGAGGAGCGAAAGCGUGGGGAGCGAACAGG